rnacentral:rRNA from 1 species
GACGAACGCUGGCGGCGUGCUUAACACAUGCAAGUCGAACGGUAAGGCCCUUCGGGGUACACGAGUGGCGAACGGGUGAGUAACACGUGGGUGAUCUGCCCUGCACUUCGGGAUAAGCCUGGGAAACUGGGUCUAAUACCGGAUAGGACCCUGGGAUGCAUGUCCUGGGGUGGAAAGCUUUUGCGGGGUGGGGUGGGCCCGCGGCCUCUCAGCUUGUUGGUGGGGUGAUGGCCUACCAAGGCGACGACGGGUAGCCGGCCUGAGAGGGUGACCGGCCACGCUGGGACUGAGAUACGGCCCAGACUCCUACGGGAGGCAGCAGUGGGGAAUAUUGCACAAUGGGCGCAAGCCUGAUGCAGCGACGCCGCGUGAGGGAUGACGGCCUUCGGGUUGUAAACCUCUUUCAGCACCGACGAAGCGCAAGUGACGGUAGGUGCAGAAGAAGGACCGGCCAACUACGUGCCAGCAGCCGCGGUAA